UGGGGAAUUUUGCACAAUGGGCGAAAGCCUGAUGCAGCAACGCCGCGUGAGUGAUGAAGGCCUUCGGGUUGUAAAGCUCUGUCUUUUGGGACGAUAAUGACGGUACCAAAGGAGGAAGCCACGGCUAACUACGUGCCAGCAGCCGCGGUAAUACGUAGGUGGCAAGCGUUGUCCGGAUUUACUGGGCGUAAAGGAUGCGUAGGCGGAUUUUUAAGUGAGAUGUGAAAACCCUAAGCUUAACUUGGGGACUGCAUUUCAUACUGGAAAUCUAGAGUGCGGGAGAGGAGAAUGGAAUUCCUAGUGUAGCGGUGAAAUGCGUAGAGAUUAGGAAGAACACCAGUGGCGAAGGCGAUUCUCUGGACCGUAACUGACGCUGAGGCAUGAAAGCGUGGGUAGCAAACAGGAUUAGAUACCCUGGUAGUCCACGCCGUAAACGAUGAGUACUAGGUGUAGGAGGUAUCGACCCCUUCUGUGCCGCAGUUAACACAAUAAGUACUCCGCCUGGGAAGUACGAUCGCAAGAUUAAAAACUCAAAGGAAUUGACGGGGUCAUAGCUG
rnacentral:rRNA from 1 species